GACUGAAGCUCGCCCUCUCCCACACCCAGGGAACUUGAACUGCAUCCUAAGGCAGCUGCUUAUGACAGCAUCAGCUUUUUAUUAACCAGGUCCGGAGUGAUGUGCUUCCAGGUGGAAUCAGUAAAACAGAUCAUGGCAGUGGAAACAAUAAAGGACAUCACUAAGCUGCCACGAACUGUUGCUUCUUUCCAUGUGUCACCCUGCCUUGGAGCCAGUGGAUGAUGGACUGAACCCUCUACAAACUGUG